UAGCUCGUCAGGCUCAUAACCUGAAGGCCGCAGGUUCAAAUCCUGCCCCCGCAA
rnacentral:tRNA from 1 species